GGAGCCGUAGCGAAAGCGAGUUUUAACUGAGCGUUCAGUUACUUGACGUAGACCCGAAACCGGGCGACCUACCCAUGAGCAGGAUGAAGCGAAAGUAAAAUUUCGUGGAGGUCCGAACCCACGAGCGUUGAAAAGCUCGGGGAUGACUUGUGGGUAGCGGUGAAAUUCCAAUCGAGCCCGGAGAUAGCUGGUUCUCCCCGAAAUAGCUUUAGGGCUAGCCUCAAGGUGAGAGAUACGGAGGUAGAGCACUGAAUGUCCUAGGGGGUAUUGCACCUACCGAAGACUAUCAAACUCCGAAUGCCGUCAUCUUAUACUUGGGAGUCAGACUGUGGGUGAUAAGAUUCAUAGUCGAAAGGGCAACAGCCCAGAUCGUCAGCUAAGGUCCCUAAAUGUAAGUUAAGUGGUAAAGGAUGUGGGAUUGCACAGACAACCAGGAUGUUGGCUUAGAAGCAGCCACUCAUUCAAAGAGUGCGUAAUAGCUCACUGGUCGAGUGAUCCUGCGCCGAAGAUUUCCGGGGCUAAAACUUACUACCGAAGCUACGGCAUCAGUAAUGAUGGGUAGGGGAGCUUCCCAUACGGGUUGAAGCAUGACCGUAAGGACAUGUGGACAGUAUGGGAGUGAGAAUGUUGGCAUGAGUAGCGAGAUGUGGGUGAGAAUCCCACAGGCCGUAAACCCAAGGUUUCCAGGGGAAGGUUCGUCCGCCCUGGG
rnacentral:rRNA from 1 species